AGUUGGGUCAAUAUCCCUAAUGGACCUUGAGAUGAGGAACACAGAUUUAUGACUCCCAUUAAAAAAUUAGUCCGCCAUACAAUUGUGGAAGCUGUGAUUUUAAAAAUUGACAUAAAUGAACUAGGACUGGUGUUUUAUAGAGCUGAUGUGAUGUGAAAAAAAGUAUAAAAAAAUAAACCUGAACAAAUAAUUACAAAGGACAUAUUUUUUAAUGAUUUUUAUGGUCAGAAUUUUGGGAUUAUUUCCUGAGGAGAGUGACAUUUUUCACUAUCUUUCGGGGUUGGGCACUUGACAGGAACACGAAUCACACUUGCCACCCCGAAAAUCGCACCACACAUGUGCAAGUGUCUCAGCUUCAAAAAAAGCCAUCAUACAUAUCCAAGUUUACGAUAUGGCCUGAGCAACAGAAGAAAACGUUAACAUUACCGCCUAUGGAGAAUCUAUUACGCAUAUUGCCCCAAUUUGUGGCCUUGAAUUUCAAAGGUGAUGGAGUGUUUCAUGGCUCAAAGACCACAAUUUAGGAUGAUAGCUGCUGAAAUCAAGAUAUGGCUAAAACUUCACAGAAUUGUUCAGAAAUG